UACGUAGGGUGCGAGCGUUAAUCGGAAUUACUGGGCGUAAAGCGUGCGCAGGCGGUUCGUUAAGUUCGUUGUGAAAGCCCCGGGCUCAACCUGGGAACUGCAAUGGAAACUGGCGGGCUUGAGUGUGGCAGAGGGGGGUGGAAUUCCGCGUGUAGCAGUGAAAUGCGUAGAGAUGCGGAGGAACACCGAUGGCGAAGGCAGGUCUCUGGGCCACUACUGACGCUGAGAAGCGAAAGCAUGGGGAGCAAACAGG
rnacentral:rRNA from 1 species